rnacentral:tRNA from 1 species
UCAAAAUGUAGUUUAAAAUAAAACAUUCCGCUUACACCGGAAAAAAUCUGACGAACCAGAACAUUUUGA